rnacentral:rRNA from 1 species
UUUAGUGGCGAACGGGUGAGUAACACGUAAGCAACCUGCCUUUAAGACGAGAAUAACAAUUGGAAACAGUUGCUAAGGCUGGAUAGGAAAUAAAAAGGCAUCUUUUUAUUUUUAAAAGACCUUUUUCGGAAGGUAUGCUUAAAGAGGGGCUUGCGUCACAUUAGUUAGUUGGUAGGGUAAAGGCCUACCAAGACGAUGAUGUGUAGCUGGACUGAGAGGUUGAACAGCCACAUUGGGACUGAGACACGGCCCAAACUCCUACGGGAGGCAGCAGUAGGGAAUUUUCGGCAAUGGAGGAAACUCUGACCGAGCAACGCCGCGUGAACGACGAAGUACAUCGGUAUGUAAAGUUCUUUUAUUGAAGAAGAAACAAUAGUGGAAAAACUAUCUUGACGUUAUUCAAUGAAUAAGCCCCGGCUAACUAUGUGCCAGCAGCCGCGGUAAUACAUAGGGGGCGAGCGUUAUCCGGAAUUAUUGGGCGUAAAGGGUGCGUAGGCGGUUUAAUAAGUCUCUAGUUUAAUUUCAACGCUUAACGUUGUCCUGCUAGAGAAACUGUUUAACUAGAGUGAGAUAGAGGUAAGCGGAAUUCCAUGUGUAGCGGUAAAAUGUGUAAAUAUAAGGAGGAACACCAGAGGCGUAGGCGGCUUACUGGGUCUUUACUGACGCUGAUGCACGAAAGCGUGGGGAGCAAACAGGGAUUAGAUACCCUGGUAGUCCACGCCGUAAACUAUGAGUACUAAGUGUCGGGGUUAAACUCGGUUACUGAAGUAACACAUUAAGUACUCCGCCUGAGUAGUACGUACGCAAGUAUGAAACUUAAAGGAAUUGACGGGAUCCCGCACAAGCGGUGGAUCAUGUUGUUUAAUUCGAAGAUACACGAAAAACCUUACCAGGUCUUGACAUACUCUUGCAAAGCUAUAGAAAUAUAGUGGAGGUUAUCAGGGAUACAGGUGGUGCAUGGUUGUCGUCAGCCGUGUCGUGAGAUGUUAGGUUAAGUUCUAAAACGAGCGCAACCCCUGUCGUUAAUUGCCAGCACGUUAUGGUGGGGACUUUAGCGAGACUGCCAAUGAAAAAUUGGAGGAAGGUGGGGAUUACGUCAAAUCAUCAUGCCCCUUAUGAUCUGGGCUACAAACGUGAUACAAUGGCUAUUACAAAGAGUAGCUGAAACGCGAGUUUUUGGCAAAUCUCAAAAAAAUAGUCUCAGUUCGGAUUGAAGUCUGCAACUCGACUUCAUGAAGUUGGAAUCGCUAGUAAUCGCGAAUCAGCAUGUCGCGGUGAAUACGUUCUCGGGGUUUGUACACACCGCCCGUCAAACCACGAAAGUGGACAAUACCCGAA